UGUUAUCAUAGCCUUUCAAUGCUUAAGUCGAAAAAUAAAUGGAGAGAAUUAGUCUCGCUACGUACAAAGUUAGUUCACAAAGUUGCCCUACAAAGUGAUGUGGCUUUAUUGGGGAAAAACACCUUCAAAUUUUGAAAUUGGAAAACCUCGUUCUUUUUCACCAUUUUUGCCCAAAUCGAGCCCUACUUCCCUCUCUCCCCAUUUCUCCCAAAGUUGCUAAGCUCCUGUAGUAGCUUAUCUCGGGCACUGUAAUUAGCUUCGACAGUGGCUCAUCUCCUACACUGUAACCAUCUAUGACAGUUGCUCAACUUUGACAUUGUACUCGCUUCCGGCCCCGAUUCGCACAGCCACAAAAGUCGACAUCGUGUCCAAACAUUACGUCGCUGCCAAAAAAUUAGUUGACAUCCCUCAUCUCUGAGUCCUAUUACUGCUAAAUUAUUUGGAAACUAAAUACUAAGUUUUUUUUUGGUACACUUUUGACAUUUGCUGUUUGUUUGGGGUUUGCUUGUCAUAUUAGAUAAGGAAUGUGUCCUGGUUGUAGGAGAAAAAAUAAUUCUUGGAAUUUCUUGAAUUGCUUCGCUUUGUACAGGGGUUGUCGACUUUUGAGAUUUUUUUAAAAAGUGGAAAUUGGUUUAUGCUUUAAAUAUUGACAAUUUCAUGUUUACCGAAUUAUUUUACAGGGUUCAGUUCUAAGAUCGAAUGUCGGGAAAAAACUUCAGAGUUUGCCACGGUUGCAGGAGUAUUGGACACUUCUUCGGCGAUUGCCCAAUAAAAUUCCGAUUCCCACAUCGUACGCAUGGAUUUCAGAAGUUUUCCGAGGUUAAAAGGGGCAUUCCUAACAAAGGCAAAUUCUUCAAAUUUUUGCAGUGAAAAGUAUGGGUUUUGGGAUUGGUGCAAAGAUGGAUAAGCAACCGAUGAAUCCAAUAAUGCUAGCAUUACUUUAGCUAAACCAGCGCAUGUCGAUAAUAUGUCGCGAAUGUUCAAAUCUCAAGUUCGACUAAAUAACAGAGAAGAUCUCUUGAUUUCUAAGAACAUGAACGGGGCAUUUUGCAGUUGGGAAACCUCUUACCAAAGGAAAAACGAAGAGGAAGGACAUGGCUUGAUAACUAGUUUAUGUUUGGCUGUUUCUGUGGGUUCUCGCCUAUCUAUGUAUCAAUGCCGCAUGAAAUUUUGUAUCCUCUUUGAUUGCGGACAUAUUUGGUGAUGUAGUUUUGGUAAAUAACUAGACGCUGUAAUUCUCAAUGUGGUUUAAUUAAAUUACAUUAGCAAGUAAGUUCCAAGGGUUUUAUUAGUCAUGUUUUUGUUCAUAUUGUUAAUUACAUUAACACACUUUUUUGCGGCU
rnacentral:lncRNA from 1 species